rnacentral:rRNA from 1 species
UGAGUAACCUGCCCUUAACUCUGGGAUAAGCCUGGGAAACUGGGUCUAAUACCGGAUAUGACUCCUCAUCGCAUGGUGGGGGGUGGAAAGCUUUAUUGUGGUUUUGGAUGGACUCGCGGCCUAUCAGCUUGUUGGUGAGGUAAUGGCUCACCAAGGCGACGACGGGUAGCCGGCCUGAGAGGGUGACCGGCCACACUGGGACUGAGACACGGCCCAGACUCCGUACGGGAGGCAG